rnacentral:misc_RNA from 1 species
ACGAAUUCGAAACCCCGACGGGGCGCGUCCGUACGUCCUCCCCCUCACGGGCCACAAGGCCCAUCAGAGGGAGUCCCCGACCCCCGUCCAACCUUUGCAAACCCACGUGCACUUUUGCGGUGGAGGGCGCUCACUCCCCCCCAUCGUUUUUCGACCGGGAGGGGGAGAGUUCCCAAAGCCCGCUUUCAAACACUCCAAUGUCGAACGAAUGUGCAGCGGCCCGCGUGUCGCCUAAUGAAAUGUAA